CCCCCCCCCCCCCCCCCCCCCCCCCCCCCCCCCCCCCCCCCCCCCCCCCCCCCCCCCCCCCCCCCCCCCCCCCGCUCGCCGCUCCCCGCCGGGCCCGGGCCUAGGGCAGGCGGCACCGCGGCCCUCGCAUAGCCCCGGCCCGCCUCAGGUGAAGGGCGAGGCCGCACUGCUCCCGCACCGUCCUGGGGGCAGCGAGACCCCCGUCAGCGCCCGGCGCGGCCCCAGCCCCGCGGAGCUCCCUCACCGCCGCGCUCCCGCCAUCGCCGCCUCGGCCGCGGGACCCGCCCGCCAGGGCCACCCCCACCCGGAAGGGUUUUGCUGAGGCACCGGAGGCGGCCCCGCCCCGUCGCCUCGCGCUCACUUCCGGCGUGCUGCGUCACGGCCUGCCCGAACUGCGCCCGGGGGGCAGGUUUGAGUGUGGCACCGAGGCACCGCCCUGUGACGGGGGACAGAAUUGUGUUGUCAAGUGAAUUGCUGGCAGGAGGCAGACGUGCCUGCAUGGAAGAUUUUCAUGUGGCUGGUGAAUCAGCUCGAAAAUGUAAAAAGACUCCGCCGAGCUCUCUCCUCGUCGCCCUUCACAGUCCAAGCUGCUGUAAUCCUUUCUGCAGUGCCUGGGAAGCGCCUCCAGCUAUUGCUCACUGGGUCUGUGCUGGGCUCACGCCCAGCUGCAGCUCCAUGGCUCUCAAAAACAGGCCUGUCCUCCACACACCCAACAUGAUGCCAGCACGGCACCCUCUCCUUGGCUACCACCUUCCACAAAUUUCUGCAAAGCUGAGGGGAGAGGGCUGUCCUCAGAUUUGCCUUUGUUAAGUCACCAACACAUGGGACAGGCUCUUCAUAGAAAUGCAUAUACAUACCUAUUUUACAGUUUCUAGCCAACAGCAGAGGAAAAUUGAAAAUACAGCUCCUUAAAGCUAAAAAACCAGAAGACAACAGUGAAUACAUAAGCCAAACCUGUUGCUUUAAACUCCAAAUGAAAAGAAAGGAGGGGGGAAGAUAAAUAAUCUGUCAAGAUAUAUUUUUAAGAUUUGUAAAAUUAAAGCAAUUUUAAACUGAUGUCUUACAGAAAGGUUCCCAUUUGCUUUUAGAAUUCCAUGUGUUUUCCUUUUUUAUCAUAUUCCUGCAGCAUUUGCAAUUCAAAUGCUACAGAAAUGUGUAACCUUGCUCAUGAAAUUUGCUGGCCAAAUGAAGCAGCCAACAAUUAAUUAGAGUGAACCCCCCUGCUUUACUCCCGUUGGUGAGAAUAAGAGAGAGAAGAUGUAAAAUUCAACCCAAAUGGAGUAUUGAGAAAAUACUUUAAUAUGAUGUUGAUAUUAAUAAGCAAAACCAUUUCUUUCCUCCCUCUCUUUUAGUAAAUUGCUUUUCACUUGACAAUUUCCUCCCAGCAAAGUGACAAGUAUUAUUCCGAGUCGUUAAUUCCUGCACACAGGCUCUGCACUGAGCUCAUUAAAGCGUGCUGAGUCCCCGGGAGGGCACUGCCAGCUUGUGCAGUGACCUGAGACCAGAACAGCCCCUGCCUUGUCCUGUCCCCAGCCCUGGGACAGGCAGUGGCCCUGAGACAGCCCAGCACCUUGUCUUCGUGGCAGGGCCUCAGUGCCUUGGGUGGGUGACACGGGGACAUUUCUCCUGGAAUACUGGUGGUCCUUUCCUGGAUCAUCACUCCUGGCUGGCAUGGGAGGCACAGUAUGUGAGUUCUGGCAGCACUCCUGGCAUGUGGGAGAUGCACUUCCCAGGUGGGCAAUGCCACUGUCACCAAAUGCUGCAGGGUGGCACAUCCUACUUGAUUUAGAAUCAUGGAGUAUCAAAUCAGAAUACCACAGACCAUCUUCCUGGCAUGGGCCUCCUCCCCAUGCUGAUGACACUCACUUUCCCAUCCAUCUUUUUCCCCCAAACACAUCAGCUGAGGGUCCCUGUGCCUGGCACAUGUCCCCAAAUGGCCACCCCGCAGGUGUCUCUGAUGAGGGCAGAAGCAUGUCUUGGAUGAAAUGCUUGCAGAGAUCAGCCUGAGGCAGAGGGAAAGGCUUUCUGCAGCAGGGCAGUGGCAGAGCCGUGGGCAGUGGGAGCCAGGCAGAGCUUCUCCCCAGGCUGCUUUUGCCAACAGCCAAUGUCUGCAGAGCAGGAGCACGGCAAGCUCAUUAUGAGACACUUGAGCAGCUUCCCUGUCAAGGGAGGCUGAUGGGACAAAGCUGUGUGUCCUCCACACCAGAGCCUGUCAGCUCUCCUGGAAAGAACACCUGGCUGCUUGGAGACAAUCCAGACACCAGCAAGGGUCUUCAUAACACCCCGGGGAGCUGCAGCCUGGAUGACAUGUGGCAUCCAUCAUCGUUAUCCAAGGGAGCCAAACCAGCAGACCUCAGAGGCUGACAGCUCCAGGAGUCUGGGAACCAAGGGGUUAAAGUGCUUGGCCAGGGAAGGUCCUGGGAGGAGAAAAGCACUGAAACUGCUUAAUUAGAGUAUUCAAAUUAGAUGGGGUUGUAAAGCAGUUAAUUUCUCAACUUGAAAAAAACCAAAAUUAAUAUUUGCCAGCCAGGAUCAGAAGCAGUGGGAGCCAUCGACAGCUUUGCUGGGGCUCCUCGUGCUGGGGAGGACUCCAGAGGUCUCUGCCAUAAUUACCUGCAGUCUUUAGUAUUUUGUUCUGCAGUUUAUGAACUUGCCUGAGCAUUUUGUGGAUAAAAGCUGGUGAUCCAAACCCCAGCUGUAUUUCUGCUCUAAGAAGGAAAGGGUGCUGGCUGGCAUUGCAGUGUGACACUUCGGUGUUUCAAAGAAUUUCCCAAUUUGCACAGUCUGGAGAGGAUCAAACCAGUGGCUGGUGGAAGCAAACUGUGCCUCUGCCAGGCUGGUGCUCCCUCCCAACCUCCAGGAUAGGCAACCACAUCCCAUCCCUGCAGAGAUGGACUAACAACAGCCCUGCGUGGACCAAGCCACCCCUCACACUGCGGGCUCACUGCCUCAUUGAUCCACAGCCAUGGACGCCUCACUGUCAGCAGCCCCUGAGCAGGUCCAGCCAUGCCAGUGCCGGGGAGAGGGAAUGCUCUUCCCUCUGCCUUGUGCCACAGCAGACCUGGAGACAGCUCCAGUGUGGGCAUGUGGACUUGGGAUGCUGUGGGGACAGUGCCAGGGCUCAUCCCUAGGUUAGUCUUUGUCUGUGGGCUGACAGCUCUCCUUGCUCUGGUCCAUCUGCCUCAUCCCUCUGGUUUUUCUCGUCUGCUUUUUUGCUGUUCUAAUCUUUUCUCUAAUAAUUAAUCCCAUGCCAAAUUCCCAUCCUUUUAAAAUUCUGCAAUUCUCUUUUUUUUUCCUUAUCUUGUCUGUGUAAUUGAGAUCCAUCUUGAAUCUCUCUGUGUUCAGUCUUCAUAUCUUGUGUCACCAAUAUGUUCCAAUCACUUAAACAUGAAAUCUUUGCAUAUUAUUCCUGUGGAGACAAAUUUUUGCAUGCUCCCUAGAAAGAAAGUCAUUCUCCAUUAGCAAGUGCUUUGUGGUGAAUGAGAGGGGAUGUCACAGCAGGAGCAGAGGCAGCAGUGGAGGGUCCCACCCUGCACUGUGUCUCUGAGUGAUACUGAUGUCUGGGACCAGCUGGGAUUUUUUCCCCAGCAAUAUCUUUGCUUUUCAAUGGCUGUGAGUGAAAGGCUUUGACACCCUCCAUCAGCACAGCAUUAGGUGAGGGCUGGCACGCCCUCCCUGCCACCCUCCCUCUGGCAACGCAGCUGCCAGUGCCCCUGGUGUCACUCACCAAGUCUCAGCACAAUGGGAAGGGAAGGAAAAAAGCCACUUCCCCCUGUACAGACACAUUGCACCAAGAGCAGAGAAAAUUGAUCUUUGGCUGCUGAGCCUCUCUAGCACUUUGUGUUGCUGAAAGGAAUAAUCAAGCCUGGCCCUGGAGAAGGCAAAGACAGAAAGGAAAUAAAAGCUUUCCCUGUCUGAUGAUUUCUCUCUCGAGCUGGGGCUCUCCCUGGGGAUCCCAGUGGUGGUUUUGGGAGAGGCACUGGGGCUGCUUUUGCUCUGAGGCCUGGUUCAGCAGCAGAUCCACAACAAUCCCACAAAAUUUUGCUUUUCCUGCUCACUUGGCAGGUCUGAGGGAAAGGGGAAGAGGCUGCUGGGGCUCCCAGCUGAGCCCCUAACAAGGGGCUGCCACAUGCACUUCCACUGGGCUUGCCCAGGGAUGUCACUUGAGCCACAGUGCAACUUCUGUCCUUCGUGUAGCAGCCAUGGUCUGAGGCAGAAGCCUGGCUUUCUCCAGGCUGAGGCCCGCACACACCUGCAGGGGUUGGAGUUUGGGGACAAGGAUCAAAGUGCUGAAGUGCCACUCAUGGGGGGCUAAGCAGGGAGAGAAGGCUUCUCACUUUCCCACAAGCCAAGGGUUGAGCUUUGCCCUCCACAAGAGUGUGGCCAUUUGCCACAGCCCAUCACCAGCGGCUCAAAAUCUGGGUCUAGUACUCAGUUGCCUCAACAAUUACCAGAUUAAAAGAAAAAUCCAGACUGAAAGGGGAGUCCAGAGUUUCCUCCUGGCUCCCAGCAGCACCCUGAGCUGGCCUAGUCCAGCUUAAGCUACUUAUAGUCCAGUUCAGGGGACACAUA
rnacentral:lncRNA from 12 species